GUUUCAGCAGCCGCGGUAAGACGGAGGGGGCAAGCGUUGUCCGGAAUUACUGGGCGUAAAGCGCGCGUAGGUGGUCUGGUGCGUCGGUGCUGAAAGCGCCGGGCUUAACCCGGCGAGGCGUGCCGAUACGACCAGACUGGAGGCAGGGAGAGGGUCGCGGAAUUCCGGGUGUAGUGGUGAAAUGCGUAGAGAUCCGGAGGAACGCCAGAGACGAAGGUGGCGACCUGGUCCUGACCUGACACUGAGGCGCGAUAGCGUGGGGAGCAAACCGGAUUAGAUACCCCUGUAGUCC
rnacentral:rRNA from 1 species